rnacentral:ncRNA from 1 species
AGCUUUACUGUUCCCUGGGAUUGGCUUUGGGCCUUUCCUGCGCAGCUUAGGUGGAAGGCGAAGAAGGCCCCCUUCCGGGGGGGCCCGAGCCAUCAGUGAGAUACCACUCUGGAAGAGCUCAGAUUCUAACCUUAUGUCAGACCCGCAGGCCAAGGGACAGUCAUAGGUAGAUAGUUUCUAUGGGGCGUAGGCCUCCCAAAAGGUAACGGAGGCGUGCAAAGGUUUCCUCGGGCCAGACGGACAUUGGUCCUCGAGUGCAAAGGCAGAAGGGAGCUUGACUGUAAGACUCACCCGUCGAGUAGAGACGAAAGUCGGCCUUAGUGAUCUGACGGUGCCGAGUUAUGAUCUUCAGCGCAAGGGCGCU